CACGUAGGGGGCGAGCGUUGUCCGGAUUUAUUGGGCGUAAAGAGCUCGUAGGUGGCUCGGUAAGUCGGGUGUGAAAUUUCGAGGCUCAACCUCGAGACGCCACCUGAUACUGCUGUGGCUAGAGUCCGGUAGGGGAGCGUGGAAUUCCUGGUGUAGCGGUGAAAUGCGCAGAUAUCAGGAGGAACACCGGUGGCGAAGGCGGUUCUCUGGGCAUGUCCUGACGCUGAGGAGCGAAAGUGUGGGGAGCGAACAGG
rnacentral:rRNA from 1 species